UACAGAGGGUGCGAGCGUUAAUCGGAAUGACUGGGCGUAAAGCGCAUGUAGGUGGACUGAUGAGUCUGAUGUGAAAGCCCCGGGCUUAACCUGGGAAUUGCGUUGGAUACUGUCAGCCUUGAGUCGGACAGAGGGCAGUGGAAUUUCCGGUGUAGCGGUGAAAUGCGUAGAGAUCGGGAGGAACACCAGUGGCGAAGGCGAUCAUCUGGGGUUGUUCUGACGCUGAGGAGCGAAAGCUAGGGGAGCAAACGGG
rnacentral:rRNA from 1 species